ensembl:Mt_tRNA
AUCUUUCUAGUACAAACAGUAUUAUUGACUUCCAAUCACUAGAUUUUGGUUUAACCCCAAAGAAGGAUA